GAUCAUGGCUCAGGAUGAACGCUGGCGGCGUGCCUAACACAUGCAAGUCGAGCGAAGCACUUUGCUUAGAUUCUUCGGAUGAAGAGGAUUGUGACUGAGCGGCGACGGGUGAGUAACGCGUGGGUAACCUGCCUCAUACAGGGGGAUAACAGUUAGAAAUGACUGCUAAUACCGCAUAAGACCACAGCACCGCAUGGUNCGGGGGUAAAAACUCCGGUGGUAUGAGAUGGACCCG
rnacentral:rRNA from 1 species